rnacentral:rRNA from 1 species
AUGGUCCCGCGGCCGAUCCCCUCCUCUCCCGCCACCGUCUCCCUGCCCGCCCCGCUCCUCUUGCUGCCGCCGAUCUCUGGGAAGCCGUCGGCCUCUUUCUCCUUAUCCUCCAGCGGCAUAGCACGCCGCGGCGCCCGGUGCUCCGCGGCGAACAAGCCCUCCCCUCCCCCUUCCGCCGCCCCGGGCAACGAGGUAAGCGGCGGCAGCAGCAGCUCCAUGGCCAAGAUAAGGAGCGAGGUGCUGUCGCCCUUCCGGUCGGUGCGCAUGUUCUUCUACCUCGCCUUCAUGGCCAGCGCGGGCCUCGGUAGCCUCAUCGCGCUCACGCAGCUCCUCCCGGCGCUGGGGAACCCCGCGAGGGCGGCGGGCGUCGCGGAGACGCUCAAGGGCCUGGGCAUCGACGUGGCGGCGGUGGCCGUCUUCGCGUUCCUCUACUCGCGCGACCGCAAGGCCAGCGACGCGCAGGUGGCCAGGCUGACGCGGGAGGAGAACCUGUCCAGGCUCAAGCUCCGCGUCGGCGACGGCGGCCGGGUGGUGCCGCUGAGCGAGCUGCGGGGCAGCGCGCGGCUCGUCAUCGUCGCCGGCCCCGCCGAGUUCGUCGCCGAGUCGUUCCGCCGGAGCAGGCCGUUCCUCAGGGACCUCAUGGAGAGGGGCGUGCUGGUGCUGCCCUUCCCCACGGACGGCAACGCGCCGGCGCUGGAGUUCGGUGAGGAGGGCGACGGGGAGGCGGAGGCGGAGGACGAGGAGGUCGCCGGGAAGAGCAGGAGGCUCUGGCAGCUCACGCCGGUGUACACCUCCGAGUGGGCAAAGUGGUUGGCUGAGCAGAAGAAGAUGGCGAAUGUCAGGCCUGAUUCCCCUGUGUACCUGUCGCUGAGGAUGGACGGGCGCGUCCGGGGCAGCGGCGUGGGCUACCCGCCAUGGCAAGCGUUCGUGGCGCAGCUGCCGCAGGUCAAAGGGAUGUGGUCGGGUCUUUUUGAUGGAAUGGACGGGAGAGUCUAG